UCUACCUAUUGACUGGUAGAAGUAAGCGCUACCGAGGGGAAGAGGUACCCAGGGAGUGAGACAUGGCCCUCCUCGUCCUGAGAUCCUGGAGCUCUUCAGUUUUCAGUCCUCACACCAGCCCUUCCAGCUCAGAAAAUACAGGCACCAUAUUUACAGCUUCCGCGGAGCCCUCCUUUCUUCAAAUUCCUCCAAGCACUCAACAGUGUCAAGUGUCAGAAGCAUUAAACUUGUCAUUUUGCC